rnacentral:ncRNA from 2 species
AAGUCGUAACAAGGUUUCCGUAGGUGAACCUGCGGAA